rnacentral:lncRNA from 1 species
CGUGGGCAUCAAGAAGUUCAGCUAUGCGGUGAAGAAGUUUUCGCCGUAGAUGUUUUACUCUUUCAUGGUUGUUUUCGCCGGUCAAGAAGUUCAGCUAUGCAGUGAACCGCCGCCGGGUCUCUUGGGAAUACUCAGUCGAUUUCAUACCAUGCCGUAUCAGUUCUUGAGUUUUGCUUGGAUUAUUUUGUGCAAGUUUUCGGCUGGGACUUUUGUCAAGCACAUGGUGGAUGCAUG